UACGUAGGUGGCAAGCGUUUGUCCGGAAUUAUUGGGGCGUAAAGCGCGCGCAGGCGGUCCUUUAAGUCUGAUGUGAAAGCCCACGGCUCAACCGUGGAGGGUCAUUGGAAACUGGGGGGACUUGAGUGCAGAAGAGGAAAGCGGAAUUCCACGUGUAGCGGUGAAAUGCGUAGAGAUGUGGAGGAACACCAGUGGCGAAGGCGGCUUUCUGGUCUGUAACUGACGCUGAGGCGCGAAAGCGUGGGGAGCAAACAGG
rnacentral:rRNA from 1 species